rnacentral:rRNA from 1 species
GAUGAACGCUGGCGGCGUGCCUAAUACAUGCAAGUCGAGCGAACAGACGAGAAGCUUGCUUCUCUGAUGUUAGCGGCGGACGGGUGAGUAACACGUGGAUAACCUACCUAUAAGACUGGGAUAACUUCGGGAAACCGGAGCUAAUACCGGAUGAUAUUUUGAACCGCAUGGUUCAAAAGUGAAAGACGGUCUUGCUGUCACUUAUAGAUGGAUCCGCGCUGCAUUAGCUAGUUGGUAAGGUAACGGCUUACCAAGGCAACGAUGCAUAGCCGACCUGAGAGGGUGAUCGGCCACACUGGAACUGAGACACGGUCCAGACUCCUACGGGAGGCAGCAGUAGGGAAUCUUCCGCAAUGGGCGAAAGCCUGACGGAGCAACGCCGCGUGAGUGAUGAAGGUAUUCGGAUCGUAAAACUCUGUUAUUAGGGAAGAACAUAUGUGUAAGUAACUGUGCACAUCUUGACGGUACCUAAUCAGAAAGCCACGGCUAACUACGUG